AGGAAGAAGUGGAAAAAGAGUAUGAAAACUUACGACUGGAACAUGACACAAUUAAGAAUGAGAAGAAUGAACUGAAAAAAGAUUAUGAAAGCUUAAGGCAGAAACAUGGUAAGGCCGUUCUUAUUUUCAUAUUCAUGAAAUAUCAAGGAUAACACAAAC